UACAGAGGGGGCAAGCGUUAUUCGGAAUUAUUGGGCGUAAAGGGCGCGUAGGCGGCUUGGCAAGUGGAUGGUGAAAUCCCUCGGCUUAACCGAGGAACUGCCGUCCAAACUGCUUUGCUUGAGACCGGGAGAGGUGGAGUGGAAUUCCCGAGUGUAGCGGUGAAAUGCGUAGAUAUUGGGAGGAACACCAGUGGCGAAGGCGGCUCACUGGACCGGUACUGACGCUGAUGCGCGAAAGCGUGGGAGCAACGGG
rnacentral:rRNA from 1 species